rnacentral:rRNA from 1 species
UGAACGCUGGCGGUAUGCCUAACACAUGCAAGUCGUACGAGGGUUUUUAACUCUAGUGGCGGACGGGUGAGUAACACGUGAGAAUUUGCCUUUAGGAGGGGGAUAACAAUCGGAAACGAAUGCUAAUACCCCAUAUGCUUUUGAGUGAAAUGGAUUUAUCCGCCUAAAGAGAAGCUCGCGGCUGAUUAGCUUGUUGGUAAGGUAAGAGCUUACCAAGGCGACGAUCAGUAUCUGGUUUGAGAGGACGAUCAGACACACUGGAACUGAGACACGGUCCAGACUCCUACGGGAGGCAGCAGUGGGGAAUUUUCCGCAAUGGGCGAAAGCCUGACGGAGCAAUACCGCGUGAGGGAUGAAGGCCUCUGGGCUGUAAACCUCUUUUAUCAAGGAAGAAGAUCUGACGGUACUUGAUGAAUAAGCCACGGCUAAUUCCGUGCCAGCA